GCAAUUUCACUGCUCAAUUCUCUGUCAUUUAGGAGUUAAAUCACUUUGUUUCUGUUUAUGCAGCCCUAGCCACACCUUCCCUGGCUAUGGCUGACAGAGCCUGCAUGGAAAAAAAAAACUGGUUUCACUUUCAAACAGAUGUAAUUUACCUUAAAUAAUUGUAUCUCAAUCUCUAAAUUGAACUUUAAUCACAUACAGGAGGCUCUUGCAGGGUCUAGCAAGCUAUUAACAUAGCAGGGGAUAAGAAAAUCUAAAUUAAACAGAACUUGAAAUAAAGAAAGUCUAAAUAGGGCUCUCUUUACAGGAAGUGUUUAUGGAAGGCUG